rnacentral:lncRNA from 1 species
UUGAAUUAGUUAUAAUUGUUUUUCUAUGGGCCUUGGGCGUAAAAACAAUAGAAGUAAAUCUUUUCUAGUACCGUUGUUUUUAAUUAUUUCUCCAAGUAUAAUAAUGACUAUAUAUUUUAUAAACUUAUCAUUGUAUUUUCUUUUCUUUUAAUUUUCUUUUUUCCUACCUGUAUAAUAACGGUAGGUAUGAUAUUAAUUUGUUCUUUUUCUUUUUCUUUUUCUUUUUGAAACGAGUAAUUUGUUGUUUUCGUGAGGGUCCAUUCCAUCAUUAACAUGCC